GACAGAGGGUGCAAACGUUGUUCGGAAUUACUGGGCGUAAAGCGUGUGUAGGCGGCUUGGCAAGUCGGAUGUGAAAGCCCCGGGCUCAACCCGGGAAGUGCACUCGAUACUGCCUCGCUAGAGUACCGGAGAGGUUGGUGGAAUUCUCGGUGUAGAGGUGAAAUUCGUAGAUAUCGAGAGGAACACCGGUGGCGAAGGCGGCCAACUGGACGGAUACUGACGCUGAGACACGAAAGCGUGGGGAGCAAACAGG
rnacentral:rRNA from 1 species